GACGAACGCUGGCGGCGUGCUUAACACAUGCAAGUCGAACGGUGAUGCUCCAGCUUGCUGGAGUGGAUCAGUGGCGAACGGGUGAGUAACACGUGAGCAACCUGCCCCAGACUCUGGAAUAAGCGCUGGAAACGGCGUCUAAUACUGGAUACGAAACUGGCCCGCAUGGGCAUGGUUUGGAAAGUUUUUCGGUUUGGGAUGGGCUCGCGGCCUAUCAGCUUGUUGGUGAGGUAAUGGCUCACCAAGGCGACGACGGGUAGCCGGCCUGAGAGGGCGACCGGCCACACUGGGACUGAGACACGGCCCAGACUCCUACGGGAGGCAGCAGUGGGGAAUAUUGCACAAUGGGCUAAAGCCUGAUGCAGCGACGCCGCGUGAGGGAUGACGGCCUUCGGGUUGUAAACCUCUUUCAGCAGGGAAGAAGCGAAAGUGACGGUACCUGCAGAAGAAGCACCGGCUAACUACGUG
rnacentral:rRNA from 1 species